UGACGUAUCUGAUUCCAUUCUGACUUGAAGGAGGAGCAAAGAUGACAAGAAAGAAAAUGAGGCAUAACAGAGGGUGACCUCGUGGAACAGAGGAUUCUGAGUGCACAAAUAACACCACGUGGCUGAAGGAGGGCUGACAGGCACAUCCCCUGCACCAGAAGUUCUGCAGAAUUAUUCAGCUGCGAUUUCAGAAUAUCUUAUUUACUGUAAGGAGCAAAUGGUGAAAGAAAUAACGUACUGACGUGGUCUCCAACAGACAGAAGAAACAUCGUGGUCUUCAGAAGAUAUCACCAUGCAGACAUAAUGCUCAUUAUCUGUGCAGGAGGUCGCCUUUGCAUGCUGGAGGAAAACCCUGGAGAUGGGGAAGAUACCUACAGUCCUUCUGUGACUUGGGACAUAAUAAAGUAAACAUGAGUCAGUUUGUUGUGCAAGAGCUCAUUUGGAGCACAAAGACAGGAGUGUGCUGAAUGCAAUUUCCUUUGUAAGUUUUUGAGAUAAAAAACACCACUGGAAACGAAGUGGGAAGGACCUCCUGAGAGUCCAGUCCUCCAACACUGAAAUGGAGAUGCAAAUACUUGGAACAGAAGACUGACCCUGUAAGACUGCCUUGGUGAUACGUGACAGAUCCUAGGAUCAUUAAGGGUUAGAAAAAACCUCUAAGUCCAAUUCUCCACCUACC
rnacentral:lncRNA from 1 species